rnacentral:rRNA from 1 species
UACGUAGGUGGCGAGCGUUGUCCGGAAUUACUGGGUGUAAAGCGCGUGUAGGCGGGAGGCCAAGUCUGCGGUGAAAUCCCCCGGCUUAACCUGGGAACUGCGUCUGAUACUGGAAGGCUUGAGUAUGGGAGAGGGAUGUAGAAUUCCAGGUGUAGCGGUGAAAUGCGUAGAUAUCUGGAGGAAUACCGGUGGCGAAGGCGGCAUCCUGGACCAUUACUGACGCUGAGGCGCGAAAGCUAGGGGAGCAAACGGGG